ACCCAUCUUCAGGGCGGGGUGUAAUUCCCCACCGGCGGUAAGUUGAUGCAAAUUAAUAAGCCCGCGAGCGCUUUUUUCUGUUUAGAAAAAAGGUCAGCAGAUUUGGUGUAACUCCAAGGCCGACGGUAUAGUCCGGAUGAAAGAAGAGACCA
rnacentral:ncRNA from 2 species